rnacentral:lncRNA from 1 species
CCGACGUCGGGAUCCGCAGAGGUGCGCUUAGGUUUGGCGAGGGCUGAGGUCACUGAGAGACCUCUUGGAGGAACGAGUACGCACGCUGGCGAAGCUGAGGAGAAUUUACCGUGGUGGUACGAGGGAUAUUUUGAAUGAACGGGAGCUGCCUGUCCCAGCAGCCAGCUGUGAGCCAAGAAGCCCCAGAGCCAUGAGAGGACAGAUGCCUUAAGACAAUGAACAAGAUGAGAAGCUGAUCUACAGGAACCAGAUUUGGUGGAUACAAAUGCAACCAGAGCCAAUUUAAAAACAAGUCACGAGCUUCAACAGAUGAUGCCCAUUUUACAUUAUUGUCAAGUGAGACAAACCAUCUCAUGGACACCAACCAAGAAUCCUGAAAGACAAGGCAGGCAAAAUAUCUACACGGACUUCUGGAUCUCUGUCUCAUUGCCACAAGGACAAAACUGCUUCCCUUCCCUUUUGAAUAUAAGACUUCAUUUUUGGAAAUAGGAACAGAGAAAAGAAACAAAUUAACUCCCAUAACCAAAAGGAGGUGGAUAUCACUGAAGAAGGAGCAGGGGGAGAGGAAGGUUAUAUCAAAGGAGGAGGCAGAGGAAUCUUUG